GACAGCAGUCGCCACGGUAACACGGAGGGUGCAAGCGUUAAUCGGAAUUACUGGGCGUAAAGCGCACGCAGGCGGUCUGACAAGUCAGAUGUGAAAUCCCCGGGCUUAACCCGGGAACUGCAUUUGAAACUGUCAGGCUGGAGUCUUGUAGAGGGGGGUGGAAUUCCAGGUGUAGCGGUGAAAUGCGUAGAGAUCUGGAGGAAUACCGGUGGCGAAGGCGGCCCCCUGGACAAAGACUGACGCUCAGGUGCGAAAGCGUGGGGAGCAAACAGGAUUAGAUACCCCUGUAGUCCCUGUCUCUUAUAC
rnacentral:rRNA from 1 species